rnacentral:rRNA from 1 species
UACGUAGGGGGCAAGCGUUGUUCGGAUUCAUUGGGCGUAAAGGGUGCGUAGGUGGCGGGGCAAGUUUGGUGUGAAAUCCCGGGGGCUCAACCCCGGAACUGCACUGAAUACUGCCUUGCUAGAGCACUGGAGAGGGAACUGGAAUUUACGGUGUAGCAGUGAAAUGCGUAGAUAUCGUAAGGAAGACCAGUGGCGAAGGCGAGUUCCUGGACAGUUGCUGACACUGAGGCACGAAGGCUAGGGGAGCAAACGGG